rnacentral:rRNA from 1 species
GAUGAACGCUGGCGGUAUGCUUAACACAUGCAAGUCGAACGGUGUCUUCGGACACAGUGGCGGACGGGUGAGUAACGCGUGAGAAUCUGGCUCUAGGUCUGGGACAACCACUGGAAACGGUGGCUAAUACCGGAUGUGCCGAGAGGUGAAAGGUUAACUGCCUAGAGAUGAGCUCGCGUCUGAUUAGCUAGUAGGUAGUGUAAUGGACUACCUAGGCGACGAUCAGUAGCUGGUCUGAGAGGACGAUCAGCCACACUGGGACUGAGACACGGCCCAGACUCCUACGGGAGGCAGCAGUGGGGAAUUUUCCGCAAUGGGCGAAAGCCUGACGGAGCAAUACCGCGUGAGGGAGGAAGGCUCUUGGGUCGUAAACCUCUUUUCUCAGGGAAGAACACAAUGACGGUACCUGAGGAAUAAGCAUCGGCUAACUCCGUGCCAGCAGCCGCGGUAAUACGGAGGAUGCAAGCGUUAUCCGGAAUGAUUGGGCGUAAAGCGUCCGCAGGUGGCAAUGUAAGUCUGCUGUUAAAGAGUCUAGCUCAAUUAGAUACAAGCAGUGGAAACUACAUAGCUAGAGUACGUUCGGGGCAGAGGGAAUUCCUGGUGUAGCGGUGAAAUGCGUAGAGAUCAGGAAGAACACCGGUGGCGAAGGCGCUCUGCUAGGCCGUAACUGACACUGAGGGACGAAAGCUAGGGGAGCGAAUGGGAUUAGAUACCCCAGUAGUCCUAGCCGUAAACGAUGGAUACUAGGCGUGGCUUGUAUCGACCCGAGCCGUGCCGUAGCUAACGCGUUAAGUAUCCCGCCUGGGGAGUACGCCGGCAACGGUGAAACUCAAAGGAAUUGACGGGGGCCCGCACAAGCGGUGGAGUAUGUGGUUUAAUUCGAUGCAACGCGAAGAACCUUACCAAGGCUUGACAUGUCGCGAAUCCUGGUGAAAGCCGGGAGUGCCUUCGGGAGCGCGAACACAGGUGGUGCAUGGCUGUCGUCAGCUCGUGUCGUGAGAUGUUGGGUUAAGUCCCGCAACGAGCGCAACCCUCGUUUUUAGUUGCCAGCAUUAAGUUGGGCACUCUAGAGAGACUGCCGGUGACAAACCGGAGGAAGGUGGGGAUGACGUCAAGUCAGCAUGCCCCUUACGCCUUGGGCUACACACGUACUACAAUGCUCCGGACAGAGGGCAGCAAGCAUGCGAAUGCAAGCAAAUCCCGUAAACCGGAGCUCAGUUCAGAUCGCAGGCUGCAACUCGCCUGCGUGAAGGAGGAAUCGCUAGUAAUUGCAGGUCAGCAUACUGCAGUGAAUUCGUUCCCGGGCCUUGUACACACCGCCCGUCACACCAUGGAAGCUGGUAGUGCCCGAAGUCAUUACUCCAACCUUUCGGGGAGGAGGAUGCCUAAGGCAGGACUGGUGACUGGGGUG